rnacentral:rRNA from 1 species
AACGAACGCUGGCGGCAUGCCUAACACAUGCAAGUCGAACGAGACCUUCGGGUCUAGUGGCGCACGGGUGCGUAACGCGUGGGAACCUGCCCUUAGGUUCGGAAUAACUCCCCGAAAGGGGUGCUAAUACCGGAUAAUGUCUUCGGACCAAAGAUUUAUCGCCUUUGGAUGGGCCCGCGUUGGAUUAGCUAGUUGGUAGGGUAAAAGCCUACCAAGGCGACGAUCCAUAGCUGGUCUGAGAGGAUGAUCAGCCACACUGGGACUGAGACACGGCCCAGACUCCUACGGGAGGCAGCAGUGGGGAGUAUUGGACAAUGGGCGAAAGCCUGAUCCAGCAAUGCCGGGUGAGUGAUGAAGGCCUUAGGGUUGUAAAGCUCUUUUACCCGGGAUGAUAAUGACAGUACCGGGAGAAUAAGCUCCGGCUAACUACGUG